rnacentral:SRP_RNA from 1 species
GCUGGGCGUGGUGGCGCAUGCCUAUAGUCCCAGCUACCCUGGAGGCUGAGGUGGGAGGAUCGCUUGAGUCUGGGAGGUUGAGGCUGCAGUGAGCCAUGAUCAUGCCACUGCACUCCAGCCUGGGCAACAGAGCGAAACCCUGUCUCAA